rnacentral:lncRNA from 1 species
GCACCCUGAGCAGUGGCUGCAGUGUUGACAUUUAUCUCAUAUCCCGCUGUCAGCAAAAGCCAGUGAGCCCUUCCCAGUAUCUCCUGAUCUACCUCUCAAAAGUCAAGUAAAACUAGGGCUCUGGAGUCUCCAGCUGCUUCUCUAAAUCCAAAGAUGCCUUGGCCAGUGCAGGCAAUUUGCUCAUCUCUGGGGUCCAGCCAGAGGACAAGACUAUCUGUUCUAUCUAUUACUGUCAGACCUGGGAUAUUGA